CAGCUUUUAAGAAAUUUCACUGUCUGAAAGGAAUUAUGAGUUAGAGUCAAAGGAGAGGAAAUACGUCAGCAAGAGUCACAAGGCAGAGCCCUUAUCUCAGACUAUGCCGUGGGUUCCCUGAUGCCCAGAUUGGGAUUUCCCGCGGUACUCCAGGGCACUUCACCCAACGCAUCAGGGAUCUCCCAAGAGGUUUCCAUACCCGGUUUUACGGGGCAGCCACAACACUUCCCCUUUCUCCCACUCUUGUGUCUGCAAUCGGGAGACCUCAAGGGAAUCAGGAAGACUCCCAGGGUGAGGUUGAUAAAUCUUGAAAGUGACCAAUAAAUACUUUUUACGUUUCUA